GAUUCACUCUUCCUGUUUACUUUUGGAAUACUCUCCAAAUCCAUAAGCAAAAGAGUUGAAUAGAAGAAGGAGAGAGGAAGAAAAAGAAUAAAAGAAAAAAGAAGACAGGAGAGAGGAAGAAGAAGGAAAAUGAUUAAUGUCCUGUUAUCCCCACCUGCAAACCUGGCUGGAGUUGAUAACAAAACCUUUACUGCUGUUCUCUGGUAGCCUUUUCUAUGUGCCAUAGGGAUGUGGUUUCUGAAGGAAAUGAGUUCUAGGUUUUUCUCACAAAUAUCCAAAAGUAGAACAGUGGGGAUCUUGACUACUAAUCACCCCACAUAACAACAGGACCACAGUGGUGGAAUGUGGCUAAUGGGACUAGAAUCUUCUGCUUACUCAUUCGCUUUGGGAAUUAAAUUGUUCUUAGACUUGGUAUGCUGGUGGACUAAAUGUUUUAAUAAAAACAGCCACGAGACACCAGUUUUCUUUGCAAAGGCUUUUCCUUCUAACCACUCUGAAUAUAUUGCUGAGAGGUUCCUGCUUCUGGAAGACCAUCUGUGAGGCGCUUAGACUUACCUGAAAUUUCAGGGCACUAUGUCAGCCAGUUCCUUCACAGUGGUGUGUCUGGCGCCUGAACAAGGACUUGGUGGGCCAGACACAUUUAAAAUGUAAAAGGAGAUUAUAAUAUUAUUUUGCAUUGCAACAGUUAGAGUAUUUCUGGCUAGUUGCUGACAAGUCGAUCAUAAUAACCAUGCGUGGUGCAACAAACCACACGGCACUGUAUCAGAAGCUUAGAGUUACUAUCUUCAAAUGACCCAGAGAUUUUUUUGAAAAAGAGAAAUGGUGGAUGCUUUUUUCCCCCAUUCAGUAAGCAUAUAUUGAAUGCCUAUUGUCAGUGAUGGCCUCUUUAUUCACAGAAGGGAGCUGGGCUAUGCCAGACUCUCACCAUGUUCUUUCCUCUUUAACACUGAACAAAAUAUCAGUAAAACACCAAGUACUACAGCUUUUUUUGAACCUGAUAGGCAAUCAGUAUGUAGUAACUGGCCAUGCUGAUGAGAGUAGGAACUGGUGAUACUGAUAGCAAUGGGAAUGCAUUCCUCACAAAGGCACAGCAGUUUAAGAACAUUUCAGGGACAAUUCGGGGCGGGGGCGGUAAAUGAGCAGAUCUGGUCUGACCUAUUUACAUGUUCCAACAAAUGUCUAGAACUCUAGAUACCUUGAAAAAUCUGAGAACAUGAUCAUGCCAUUUUUAUGGGGAUGACAGAAUUCUUACGGAAAAGACUUGUAUAUGUUUAUCUAGUGAGCUUCUCUAUUUGUAGAAUACUCAGAAUACCUCUGAGAACCCAUCUUAAUUUUUAGAAUCAUUUAUAAGAAUCUGACAACUUAUUAUUAUAAAAUAAACUUCAAAGCAAUUACUUGAGAAGCUUGUUGACAAUCAAGAUACACAAAGUCCUGUCAGUGGGAUAAGGCAAAGUUAGAGUUCUCUAAAAUGGUUACAGAGAAGUGGGAAAAUGACAGAGUGGUUUGGCUGGAAGGCAUCUGACUAUAAAUCAGAAGAUCUAGGCCCCCAGCCAUAUGUGGCAACUGUUGCAUGAUCUUACAAGUCAUCAAACCUCUCCUGAGUCUCACUUUUCUCAUGUGUAAAAUGGGAGUGUUGGAUUAGGUGGUCUUUAAGAGUCUCUCUAGUUAUAACAUUUGAUGAUUUUAAAGUAAGAAAAGACCACAGAAUAAUUCCCUCUAAUUUGGUAAACACGUUGCUUUCUCCUGAGCUGUGUCUAUGUGGUUUGCAUUGGGUUUUAUGUUUCUGGGCUCUAGAAGUCACAUAGUAAAUAUUCGAGUCAUUCUUCCUUCUAUACAUGGGAAAAUUAGAAGAGAAUAAUUCUUCCUUUCUUUCUAUGUCAAUCUCUGUUUUCCAAUCAGACUUACAAGCUUAAGAUAAGGACACAAUCAUUCUGUUACUGACGAAGGCUCUUCCUCAUCUUUGUCACAGGCCCUUACUCAUGCUCAUGCAAGCUUAUCUGAUUGGGUUAUUUCUGUAUUUAUGUCCUGGCUAUUUUUUCUCUUUCAACUUGUUUAUGAAAUCCCUGGUAAGCAUAAAGCCGCAAAAACAAAAACAAAUAAAACAAAACAGCUCUGUUUGAAUAAUUUUCUUCAGUAAAGGCAGUAUAAGAAAACAUUCUAACACUCAGGGAAAAAAAAUCUUUUAAAAAUACUCCUAUAUCUUAGAAAAGAUGAAAUAAAAUGUUAUAUCAAUGAUAGUUUCAUACGUUGUUACUGCUUUUCAUUUUCCAAGAGAAUGUUACAUAUUGAGUUUAUAGUCUGGUGUGCAGAUGUGGAUAUUUCUCCCAAUAUUUCUCAGGCCACUGCAUCCUUGAAGCCAAGAAGGCCCAGAGCUUGCUGAGGUAGCUUUACACGGACAAAGGAACUACACAAAAAACCCAAUACCUGGAGCUUAUAUCGUAUACUGACUAGGCACUCCCGUCACUCAUGACUCACUCUUUCCCAUCUCUGUCCUGUUCCUCUACUGAUUUCAUUCUCUUCACCUAGAAUGCCCUCCGUUUGCCUCCCUUUACGGCUCAAAAUGUCCCCUAUCUUUCAAGACCCACCUAGCUCAAGCCCCAUCUCCAAGAAGCAACUUAAGUUGACCCAUCUUAGGACCCAGUGAUAAUUUUCAUGGCUAGAAAGCGUUCAUUAGCCCUUGUGAUAACUGGAGUCACUUACAACACAUAUCUAGCACGUGCUCAGAGAACACUGGGGAAAAAGAUUGUGAAGAGUGGCAGGGUCCUUGUAAAACGGAAAAAAAAAAAACGCUAGCUUUAAGAAUAGGCCCAAUAUAGUAGCUGCGGUACAUGAGAGAAAAGUUGUAGCUUUGUAAAGAAAAGUUGUAGCCUUGUACAGAGGGAUUAUUUUAGAAUGGCCUGACUUUGCGCUUUUUUUUUUAACAAAGGAAAAGAGAUAUAAUAUCUUAAAAGAAGGAGUUAAGACAUUGAAUAUGGCAACAUACAGUCUUCUAAAGUUCAAAAAUAUUAAUUAUGAAGCUAAAAUGUCAAGAUUUUACUAGGAACACUACGGAGCACAGCUGAAACAGGCAAAGACAGAGGUAUGGGCAUAGAAUCUGAAUUUCACCUACCCUGAGUCCCCCUCAGUCUGAUGGCUCUGCCAUGCAUUGUGAUAAACCCCGACAGUGCUUAGCUGGGCUGAAGCGAUGGCCCGUGGUAUAUUCUGAUAGUGAAAGAUAGAAUGACGCUCAGAAAUGCUGGAUGCUGUUAGAUAUGUAUAUGAUUUUAUUUAUGUGUAUAUUUUUAUAUCUAUAUAUACAAACAUAUAUAUUUGUAUGAUGUUUGGCAACCUCACUCAUGGUAUUCCUGUGAAGGAGGCAUGUGGUAAACAUAAUUAGCCCAUUAAACAGAUGGUAUGGCUCUGGCAUAGCUCACUAUAUUCUAAAAUGGUGGAGCUGUGAGCAGGGGCUGAAGACAGAGUGCAGUCUGAUACACGGUUAACUGCGAAUCUCUGUGAAUUGCUGCUUUCUAAAGACAAUCUGGGUAGGCUACACUUGGCUGAGAAUUGGCGAUGGUUUGGGAAGCUUUAAAAAUAUACAAGGGGACAACGUUCACAUUCAUUCAGAUAUAGUAUCUUCAUUUUUACUUACUAGAGACAUUUUUUGAAAAAUAGCUUUUUAUCUUAACUCAUCUGUGUUCCAAGCAAACUCCCAAAUUGCUGAGCAGAUUAAAAAAAAAAACCCUACAUGCCAAGUAGAAACACUGGGUACAUUUUUUUUAAUUGUCUUAACAAAGUGCACUAUUGGAAAGGAUAAAGUUGAAAGAGGUUUGGUACCACACACAUAAACUCAUAGUCAUUGUAGAGUUCUGCAUGAGGUGCCAUUUUACCUGGCUGGAUUGUGUAUGCUGUGGCAUUGCCACUCCAUGGUACGGCUGGCUUCACCGAACCUGAAAUUAAAUAUUGUAGCCCAAUUCUUUUUUUUUUUUUCGUGAGGAAGAUUAGCUCUGGGCUAACAUCCAUUGCCAAUCUUCCUCUUUUUUUGCUUGAGGGAGAUUAGCCCUCAGCUAACAUUCAUGCCAUCUUCCUCAACUUUGUAUAUGGGAUGCCUCCACAGCAUGGCUGAUGAGUGGAGUAGGUCCACACCGGGGAUCCGAACCCCAGCACUGGGCCUCCGUAGCAGAGCGUACGAAACUUUAACCACUCAGCUCUGGGGCCGGUGCCUCUAGCCCACUUCUUUGUCAGCUGAAACAGGGGCUAGCAGAAGUGAAAGGGUUACUAAAAGUUAAGACUUGAAUUUACAAAUGUAUUUGAACUGGCUUCCAGAAGACAUGAAACAUCAAUACAUCUGGAGAGGAGAACUUGCAAUUGACUGUUCUUUAGCAUCUGGUCUCAAGAACAUUUGCUGCUUGGAAGUUGCAUAAGCAGUGAAAAAACACACAAACAGCUUCCUGUACCAUGCUUUUGGUCACUUAUAAUGACGCAUUACAAAGUAAAACAGCUAAAUGUGAGCAACUGUGCCUUACUCCAGAUGACAACAUACGUUAUAUAACUAAGAUCAAUGACAGAGGACAUCUUUAUUUUAAGAGAUCUAGACUUGAAAAAAUAGUCAAAAAUAAAUAUCCUUCCUUCCAAGGUGUUUGUCUCGAGUAAUUUUGGCUAGAUUUGUUUUUAAUGUCCCUGAAAAACCACUUCUAAUUUUUUCCAAAUUAAAAAAAGAACAACAAAAAAAGCCAUCCUGGGGAAUGAAAUGUUCCAUAUAUAAUUUUUUUAAUGACAUAAACUUGCCACUUUAAGUAAUAAAAUAUGUUUUACACUUUUUUAAUAGAAAACUUUAAUAUAUCCUUGUUUGCUUAAACUGAGCAUGCUGAUAUCAUUUAUAUUUUUUUCUUAUGAAACAGGGUCAUCCUUGUGAACGCUCACUCCUCCUGUUCUUCAAUAAUACAUUUUAUUUUUCUUGAGAAUCAGACUCGUCCCUCAGCUCUCAGUCUAACGGCCACAAGCUGAGCUGCAGCCCACUGGUCACUGCCAUAGCUCAGGGGUGUCACCGUCCCAGUUUUUAAGAGCCAUCUCCUUCCAACCUUAAAUGCUAGGUAUAUUUUCUUGUCUGCUUUGGAUUGGAAAACCAGAAAAAUGAGUGCUGUAAAGACAAGAUUGCUUGGAAGCGAGGUUUAGUCAGAGACUUUGGGACACUCAUUUGCAUGUCUGCAGGUCUUCGUUUCUUUCUUUCUGUUGGAAUUCAGACUCUGAAUUGUCAGAAACCAGACUUCAAAGUAUUAUUGUAUAACACAGAGUGUGACUUUUAUGCUGUUUUAUUGCAGGGGUUCUUAUUUUCAAAGAGGUUGCCCAGAAAGCCAUUCUUGAUUACUUUAUUUGUAGGGCUCUGAUCCAUUCCAUCUCACCUCCUGAUUUCCGCAGGCAACGUAACUAACAUGAUAACUUCGAGAAAUAAUAGCACAUUUUUUAGGAUAAGGUGAGAGAUUCUUGCUAAUUGCCUUCAUCAUAGGGAUGGGAGCAAAAGUAUAUAGUCAAAUUAGAAAAUUUCUCUCUUCGGCCAAUUUUUCUCUAGAUUUUGAACAGGACUCUGGCCUAACUGGACAUUAGGAAAAAAAUUAAAAGUAUUGUGAAGCUAUUUAUAUUAAUUUAAGUGUUCAGAAAAGUAAUAUCCGAGCAUCUUUUCUCCCUUGCCCCAAAAGGAGAAAUCAGUAUAAUUCACAACCUGUGGUAGUCAGGAUAGGGAUUACGUUGCAAUUUACCUUUUCCCUCUCUCUGAAAAUAGGAUUUCUAAGCAAACUAAUAGUGUUAAGAUUUUUGAGGGGAGGGAGCAAGGAGAACCAUGUUUAACCUAUAAGAGGGGGAAAGAAAACUUUUAAAAUAUUUUAAAAUACACAUAUCUGAUAAGCUACUGAUAAUUCUUAUUUAUUUUGAAGCCUCUGCUCAAGAAACUCUUACUUAUUAACACUUGGAAAUCUCAGUUCAAACUACAUACAAAUAUUCUAUGAUUCAUACUUUCAGCUAAUUCAGUUUGGUUGUCUCUUUCCCAGUUCGUCUGAACUGGUGAAAUUUUACAAAAUAAGCAUGGGUAGCUUCCUAGAGUUACAUUUUUACUUGUUUAUUUGUUAAUUUUUGUAACAUGUUUAUGUGACAAAAAAAAGUAAGUGCUAGGUCUACUUGUUAUAGAUUAUUUUUGGACAAAGAGAGUUUGCAAGAAACUGUCGGUUUUACAGCAGCCAAGUUACUGGGGACUAAAGCAGAAGUUCAGGAAUAGACUGGUCUUCAACCAGUUUUCCACAACAGCAUCUGCGGACAUGGUUAAUGAGUUCUGAAAUUCAUUCACAUGGCUAAUCUUUUAGGAAUCUCAUAACCUUGCCUGACCUUUCCAUAAUCACGAGAGAAAAACCUUGGCAAAAUUAGAACCAGUCGUCAGGUCCUGUUUUCCUUUCUUCUACUCAUUUUCUUUCUUUCUUUUUUUUUGGUAUUGGAACAAUCAAAAGACUCCACGUUUUUAAAUUCCUUGGAAGACUAACGAUUGAAUAAUUUUCUCACUCUCUGUUUGCACUUUCACAGUCUGGUUGCAUUGAUUUGUGUCUCAUAAGUAGAUAUUUCCUUUGCUGGUUACAAAUCAAUGCUAUAGAACAAACCUGCCAGCACAUUCCCAUCUCCCCACCACCCUCACCUCCCUGCAGUUUGAAAAACAGAGCGCAGUUUUCUUUUAAAAAAUUAGUUUCAUUGGUUGGUAACAUACUAAAAGAAGAGAAAGCCCAAGAGUUUAAAAAAAAAAAAAAUCCGUGGGAAAAGGAGCGCCUCCCAAGUGGGUCUCUGCUGCUUUCUCAGCGCCUGGAGCAGAGGACCGCUUAGUGGGAGAGCAGCGCUCGUCUGCCCUCCGCUUCCGGUGUGUGCUCUGUUAACCCAACUAAGGUCCUCACCUUCAUACAUCACAAGGCUGCCCAAAGCCACACACUGUGAUGUCACAGUCAGAUAUGAUUUCAUGGCCGGAAAAAACAAAAAGGCAGAAAAGGUUGAAUGUAUUUUCCUUUUAUUCAAAUCUUCUAAGAGGGGGCAAAAGGGAAGAUGAUUUUUUUUUUCCCUAAGAGAAAAAGAGGACAAGCUUUCUCCCGUGAAUGUGAAAACUCCAUUCUGAAGAUUCCCCGGUGCUGUUACCCCAAGUGGAUAAGCACGAAUAAAGAAGCACAAAGAAGUACCCUCAUCAAUCCCAAUGCUCUCGCCACCGCUCAGCUACAGGUAGAGAGCAAGCAGGCACCAUUUGAUUUACCUAGAUUAAAAGAGCAAUUUUCCGUCCUCUUUUUUUCCUUUUAAAAAUAGCCAAUCGAUUUUGGCCUCGCUAUGGCUGACUGUACCAGGGCCAUUUUGAUACAUCGCUGAUUAAAUAGUGUGCUCAUGGCUGAAGGCAUGACAGCAGGAACAGGCAGAAGCUGCCGAAGGAAUGGGGAUGGGAGACCACAGGCCCCAGCUCCAGAAAGCCUGCUGGCUGACACUGCAGCGGAUGCUCCACGAGGGCCCGACCGCCAGCCCUUCGCCAGCGGACUGCCGAUAGCACAUUCUAGACUUGAACUUGGUGGACUAUGAUUCUGGGAGUUUGAAGCCUGCAAUUCAUUUAGCUUUUUAAUUCUGACCUUAAGAAUGAGAGAAAAAAAAUCAAAGUCCUUUGAUUUUUUAAAAAAUACGGAUGGGGGAAAUAUUGCCUCCUAAAUUGCAACGACAGCUGAACUGAAGAUGGGAAUUUGCUUCUCAGGAACAAGCCUAUUUAACUGUUUUUUAUGAAACAGUUACAUUUUCAUCAGUUACAGAGUUAGAGUCUUCUACCAAAAGGGGAUCUAGUCGUUUAGAGACCUUGGUUGCACAAAAAAUUGCACAAAAAAGAAACACAGAAACGAAACAGGUCUUUUAUAGACGGUGACUCUAUGUUGGGAUUCAUCCGCAGCCCUCAGAAAAGUGAGACGGUCUCCACCAGCUCUGGGAAGUAACCAUCUUGAUUACUACGAGAAAGUACAACCUUCACCGAAGUCUGUGUGGCUGGAAAAAUAUCCUAGGGAGGGGCGCUCAGGCCACUCUUCUAGAGCCCCAGCAUCCACAGACGUUUCUUCAGAAAAACGCAGAGUCCACCCGACAGAACCUGGCCAAGUAUAGAUGCAGAGGGUGAAACCCAAUCGCAGAGCGCUGACAGAGCUCCUCUUAUGGCCUGCAGAACAGAUCUACCGAGUCCUACACCUCCUGGCCAGCAGUGACAAGUAAACACUGGUUUGAUUUUAGUAGCUCCGCUGUAGUUCCACGGGCAGCUGCCCUCACUGCACACAAGCAGUCCCUCUCUCAGGGGCUUAUAACUCAACCAUCAAAAUACCAAAAUAUGCUCUGGUUUGAAACUUGGUGUACCAGAGUCUGAAGCCCCAGAAUGACUGUGGUUUACUUCCAAAUUUAAGAAAAUAUUGAGUUUUGUAGGUUAUUUGUUUACUGUUUUCAAAUAUGUUUGAAGACUCUUUUAAACUUUCCAUAGGAAAAUGUACUAAAAACACGCCAUUUUAGUGCCUUUAGUAAUUCAUUCUGAAUUUCAGCAUACCACUUGUGAAAGGACGAAAUGGUGGGAAAAUGAGUAUAUUUGUUUUAUUUUCUUACCAAAUACAGAUGUUUUGACCACUUGGAUCCUCAUCAGUGUUCAAAAUAUUGGUGUGUUGUAACAUAAUAAAAUAAAGGCGUUAACAUCCUUGUUUUGUUCCUUUCAGGGAUGUGCAGAAUGGAUUAAUGAGUUCUUGUUUUUGGCCCUUGUUUAACUCAAAAACUCGUUUCAACUUAAAUAAAUUAAGAAGGAUGGCUGGGUAAAAAAAAUGGAGAGAAAUGAAAGACUAACUACUUCUAGCUUAGACCACUGCAUCUUCUGCUGACACUGUGGCUUUCCUACCUUUUCCCGGGGAUUUCUCGCAAUGAGGUUCAAAGCACACCUGGCAGCCACUCUGAGACAACAAAGGGCAGAGGCUCUUUGGAGCUGCGGCUGUCGCUUCUCUGGUGUCAAAGAUCAAACCUCGUGGCAGUGAAGUAGGACCUUAUGUAAUCACCAGUGAGAGCUUUGUAAAAGCCAUUUCAGUCUGGCGUGUGAAGAACACACAGCAAGAAGAACGUGGGGAGCAUCUGAAAGAAGAGUACAGCGGUAGAGGCUGCGUGGUCAUUUUGGUGAUCAAGAAGCACCAGCCAGGGGAGAGGUUAUUGUUUGAAUGCCAGUGUGAUUCAGAGAGAGGGCCAGGACACACAAUAUUCACAAGGAGCUGAGAGGAAGAAGUGUCCAGAGCCAUAAAGUCACCAGGGACACACCCAAAGGCAGCUGCUGUGAUGCAGACCUUGAGAGUUAAUUGUUCAUUCAAAGAGGAUUGUGAAACUCAAAUGUAAGAGGAGAAGAUGAUAAUCCAAACAGCACAAUUCUGGGUCUUUUUCUUCUUGUAAAAGGAAGAAAAAAAAAAAAGGAGAGAGAAAAAAGAAAACAAUACCCAGAAAUACUGUACCAUACUGGCAGUUUACUCUCUCUUUCUUGAACCAAAUCAGCAUGUUAAUGACAUAAAAACUUACUUUCCUUAUGGGGACAAUCAGGCUCUAUCACACACAACAUUAAAUACGCGGGUUUUAAAAGGAAAAACAAACCAAAUCACCAGAAACACCUCACUCUGGCAAUGGUGAGGUUGGCCAAAGCAGACUGUGUCCUUAAUGUCCAGCACAACCUGUGAAUCCAGAAAAGCAUCUAUGAAGCUAGACUGGAACUAUCAGGCCUCAUUUCCACCAAAGAGGAGUUCCCUUAAGGAUUCCGGAAGGGGGGAUCUGGAGGAGCUUUCAGUCUCUUUUUUGGAAUGACAGAACCAGGGCAGGCUCCUCUGGGGGUCAGGUCGGCCCCACCAUGCGGAGUCCCUGUGUCUAAAUGAUAAGUAAUCGAAAUGAAAAGACACUAUUUCAAUGGCUGCCCUGAAAGAGUCUUAAAAGCAAAUAAACAAGUCCCCAGCCC
rnacentral:lncRNA from 1 species